rnacentral:lncRNA from 1 species
AAAUUUUUUAUUGUUCAUCAAAAAAAAUUCUGAAUUAUACAUUAAGACUGAAAAUUUUUUUAUCAAUAAACUUUUAAUUGAUGUCUCAAAUGAUAACCAGAAAUCACAACGUUGAAUGAAAUUAUACCCGUUCAUUCAAUUGAAGUAAUAACUAUAUAUAGAACACAAUCAUUUCUAUUUAUAGAGGCCUAGCGGGUGCCAACAGACCACCACAGCAACAAGACAGGCCACAUCGGCCAGGCCUCAGCCUCGCCUACCCCUAUUCUCACCCUUUCUCCCUCACAAACAGUGCCAAAUUCAAUUAAAUAUACAAAUUCUGAUUCACUUUUUUAAAAUCUAAAACUGACCACCCUCAAAGGUUUGCCCAAAUUGCCAAUUUCCAGGCACAACAUUGUUGCUAGUCACAGUCCUGCCGUCACUGGCUGUCAAUUGGAAAGAAAGACUUUGGCCGUUAAGAUAAGAAUUGCUCUGCCAAUUUUGGCCCCAGUUCCUUGACAUUGCUUGCCAUCCAGUCUUUGAACCCUUGAUUGAUACUGAAUGUACAUCUCCUGCUCCUCCGACAUUUGUGAUCAAAACCAGGUUGAAGUAUGAGUGUCCAUUGACGGUAAACCUUAUUCCUCCUUUCUUCGCACACGGGAUCCUGAUUACAAAUCCGGAUAGAAACAUGUCAAAAUCAGAUUCAUACAGGCUUACAAGUGUAGUGACAUCAACUUUAUAAUGUGAUAUGUUGUUACCUUCUGAAGGAAAUUGGGACGAUACCGGCGCGGUAUUGGGCAAUUUGCAAGAAAGCGGGCUCAGCCAUGUCAAAGUGCUGGAGGGGAGGAUUGCACCAACCGCCGUUGUCGUUAGACAGGGCAAGGUUAGGUGGGCAGAAGUUGGUGGCGGUGACAAUGAUGGAGCCGGGGAGGCACCACUUGGGGUCAUUUUCACAUUUCAUUUCAUAGCAUGAACCACAGCUUAGGCCAUUGUUGAAUAGAGCGGUACUGAGUGCUGCAGUGUUAGUCCCGUAGCCUUGGCUGUACAAAUUGCCAUACCCGCAAGCACCACCUACAGUACCAAGUAGAAAACAUCAAUUGACAUCAUGGCAAAUUGACCAAAAAAUUAUGCAACAGAAGAGACAAAUGUUUUAACUUGUUACUUAUACUUACCCAUUGUGCCGGAAGCAUCACCCCCGCCAUAGAAAGUUGCAUGGCCACUUUGCCACCCACCACCAUAGUCUCCAAAUGUGCCACGAAAGCAAAAAUUGAGCACAAACAAAAGGAGAGCAACACUAGAUGAUGCUGCAAUAUUGGUCAUGGCUGCUACUGCUGGCUGCUUAUGUUUAUGUGUUUUUUUGUAAAGAAAAAGAGAGAUGCUUUGAGUGCUUAGUGGCUUAGUGCAGGGGGAAUGGAGCUUGCUUUAUAUAGACAGUGAGAUGCGGACUUUGUGAAGCUACAGCCACCGAAUUAAAUCGCAUUUCGUCAGGCAUUGUUACAGGGAUCAAACUGCACAUGCAAAUGUUCUUGUUAGAGCACCAACCGCUAUCUCAAUUGGCCCCACCCCCACAUGCAUUUAUCAACCGUUUCAGUUAUCUUAUAUUUGUCAUAUUUAAUUUUCUUCCCUUUCUCACUCUUCAAUACUUUCUACAUUUGAUAAUGCAUAAAUUUCUACUUAAACUGCCUGAAAUACCGCAAAUCAGCUCAACUUUUAAGCCCUUUGAUUAAGGAGACUUGAGGUUAAUUUCUUGUUCCUGAGGUCCGUUUUGGUUGGCUGUGGAAAAUGUAUCAUAAAGUAGUUGCUAAUUUUGUCAGCAUUCUUGUUCUUUCGUUGCUCUCUCUAGUCCAAAGUUCAAUGUGCUCAAAUCUUAAUGUUUUUCAUUUCUACAAAAGCGGUGCAAGUUUCAUGUUUAAACCAUCCAUUAGUCCUUUCCUUCCCACAUGUAUACAGGGAUUCAAGUUAAUUUCCAUGUGUAUCACGGAAAUGGUUUUUUUUUUUCAAUUAUUUGGGGGUAGAUCCAAUUUUUUUGGACCCCGAUAUCAAACAAUGUCAUGACAGAGCUAUUUAAGUAAUCGCAAUUUUUACUUAUGAAUGAUAAACUAUCAUUAUAAACUUUAAAUCCUCUUGAUAUAAAGUUGUUUAGAUUGGGUACUGACAAGUUUGUAAUUGUAAAAAUUACAAGACAAAUGCUAAGUUACAUUUAAUAUAACUUACAUCCACUUACAUUCAUUUGUGUGGUGUAAAAAUUAUAAGGCAAAUGCUAAGUUACAUUUAAUGUAACUUACAUCCACUCACAUGAACAAUACAUGGUCCCAAAUUACACACCACGCGUUGUUCAUAUGAGUGGAUGUAAGUUAUAUUAAAUGUAACUUAGGGGCUCUCAAAUUACAAUUGUCAUUAUAAAAUAAGCAUGCUUUGUAUGAAAUAAAUUUUUGCCUAAUUAGUCUAAAGAUGUCACCAAAAGUGACCAGUUUUGAUGCAUGAAUUGAAACGGUAAGAAAGCAUAAGCAGGGAUUAGGAGGCAACCGACUUGCAAGCAAAGAGCAUCUCAAAUUAAAGCCUUACUUUUCUAGUGCAAUGUGCUGCUUGUUUGGUCAGAAAAGUUUUUCUCAAUUUGUUUAAGCUUACUGGGUUUUAAUUAAAAUUUCUCGUACAGGACUAUAUGUUAAUCCCCACAAACCAAUCAUAUUUUAGUAUUACAGAUGAGGCAUCAAAAGAUAUACACAGCAGAAACUCCACGGAAUCCCCUCGAUCGUCGGUUGUUAUAAUAUGCUUUGUAAUAAGGUUUUUAAAUCAUCAAACAUAAGUAACCACUAGCAUAUACACUUAUACAGUAUGGAAUCGGGAUCACACACGUGGUGAAAUCUCAUAGAUCGAUGCAUUUGGAAAUACAAAAAUAAGGGUGUAACUUAUGAUAAUUCGUCGUUGAAAUUAUUUAAACCAAAGUGGGAUUAUUAUAAAAUCUCAAGUCAACAAUGUAUUCAUAUUUUUUGUCUACAAAUUUUGUAUGGACUUACGUGGGGAGAGAUUUGAUGAGGGACCUACCAUGUUAUGAGCACAUGCAAGUCCCGAAUAUCACGGUCAAUUGUAUUCAUACAUCAUUUUCAUAUGAAUUAGGAUGCUUUCAUUUCUAGUUAAUUACAUUUAGAAUAUAAGAUCAAAGAUAAUGAGACACCGACUUGAUUUGACAAAUGAUUUUACAAGGGAACAAUCAAGAUGCUAUUUGGCUUGUAUUUUUAUUUGAUUAAUUGAAAGGGUCCGGCUACGGUGCAACGGUGAUACGGUAUCACCGUUGCAUUCAGCCGUUGCAUCCACUUGGAUGAAUGAAUUCAGUGAGAUCCAAUGGUUGAGUGCAACGAUGAUACCGUACUACCAUUGCACCAUAAUUUUCUCCUAAUUAGAAUUAGUUAACCAAAACUUUAAUUUGUUUCUUCUGUUAGGAAUUAGGAAUAAUAUUUUUUAUGGAAGGUGUCGACUCAGCGUUUAAAGAUAAUCAAUCGGUAAUUCGGUAGCAUUAAAAUAUAUUAAGCCUGAUGCUUAAGUUGUCUAUUGAUCUUGAUGUCUAAGUUUAAUAUUUCCCUCUCUUUUAGACUUUUACCGGCCGUCCAUUGAAAUUAUUAGUAUUAUGUAAUAAAUAUUGUUCUUUCUCACUUAACGGUUGGCAUUUUUCAAAAUGACAGUAGAGCUACUUGUAAAACUUUAAUUGGGCACGCGAUUUGAUAAAAUAAUGUGCUCGUCUUACUUAAUAUUUUCUGCGUAUAUAGUUUUUUUUUUUUUUUUUUUGAAACUGUUCAGCUUAUAUAGUUAACACUACAAUUAAUUAGGGAUGAUAAUGGAUCGGAUCUGACACAGGAUUCACGUGAUCUAAAUACAUUUAGAUCGAAUUUGGGUCGGAUUAAAAUGAAUUUGGAUAUCGAUGUGCGGAUCUAAGGCGGAUUUGGAACAAGUCUGGAUUAUUUUAAGAUCUAAAACUAUAUCCAUAUCCACUCACCAUUUAAUUUAAUUUAAUUUUAAAAAUUUCUUAACAGUUGUGUAAUUAUAAAUAAUAAUAAAAUUUGUUCAUAACAUAUUAGUGGCAUUUAUUUAAGAAUCUUAAAAGUUAAAAGUAUUUAAAUGAUAAUAAGAAAAAAAUUUAUUAAGUGUAAAAUAAAAUUAGGACAUCUAGACCUAAUUUUUUUUUCACUAUACAAUUUAGCCUCUUUCGUUCUCUUUAGUCUAUUCUAGCUUCUUCACUUCAUUCGAAUGCUUGGAUCAGUCCUUUAAUUGCCAGGAAAAUCUCCAGACUUGAGCUUUUUUUUUCCUAUCAUUUUCUCAUAAUCUUAUUUAUGUUGUAUAAUCACCAAUCAGUGGUGACUAUCAACUAUAAAAUAAUUAUGUUAAUGUGAUCAUAUAUUUAGUUAAAUAUGGUCAUAAUAAAAAUAACAAAACACUGAAUAUAAAAAAUCGUAUUUAACUUAUAUGUUAUUAUUUAAUGAUAUAAGAAUGAUGAUGGUGUGUCGUGGAUAUCAUGAUGGUAAAUGAGACAUUAGAAUAUUACAAUGAUCUUAUCAUUACAAUUACUUUUAAUGGAUAUUUUAUUAUCUUUCUUAUUUGUCUGUUUUGGUGCAAAAGUAUGAGCUACAAUACUUAUUAGAUUUUUUAUAUACAUUAUAUAAUUUAAUUGUUACCAAUGCAUUUUAGUCUUUAUUUUUCUUUCUAAAAAAUUAUUGCUCUCUUAUUAUUGAGAUUUAGAAUUCAUAACAGAUUUAGAGCAGCUAAGGAUCUUAAUUUUUUUUUAUGGAUCUAGAUCUGCAAUAAAGUAGAUCCAAUCCAUAUAUGCCCUAUUGUCAUCCCUAUUCAAAUAAUGAUGAUAAAACUAUAUGAUUUGAUUGCUAUUGAUAACUAUCAACCUAUAAAUUAUCAAGAUAAUUGGGUUUUUGGUCUAGUGGCAAAAACUGUUGCCCUCAAAUUUGAGGGCACUGGAGUUUGGACUCAAAUUUUUUUCUUUAAGUUAUAUAAUAAUAGAUAUUUCUCAAAGUAGAUAUAACUCUCUAAUAUUAGUGGGGGAUAAAUAUAUUUUAAGUUGUGCAAUAAAAGAGUUGAUCUAGAUUAAUUCAUAAGUAUCUGAUAAUUAAUAAACGUAUUAUUGUAAUUUAUCAAAACAAAUUCUCGAAGAAGGAAGAGUUUUAUCUAAAGCUGAGCAAUGCCGUAAUAAGGGUUUAAAUAAAUGCGUUGGUCAGAGCAGCAAGCCCCUAUAGCUCAGUGGUAGAGCGCCAGUCUUGUAAACUGGAGGUCUGUAGUUCGAUCCUGCAUGGGGGCAAUUUCAAAGUUUUUCAUUCAAUGCAUGUUUUGGGGUUUUCAUGUGACACCACCAGCAUUAGCACAUUCGGCUUUAUGAAGAAUUUAUUUUCCUUUCCCACAUAAUAAAAAUUUUCAUGGCUUACCGUUUUUUGAUAUCUACGAAUCCAAGUUCUUCAGAGUAGUGGGAUCAAAAUAUGUGAUGCUAGUGCUCUAGACCAAACCCUUUCUUCCCAGGAGAGACAACAUAUACCAAACUAGUAAUAAGAUCCACAAACAAGCAUGUGGACUUUAUCCAAAUGUGUAUUCCGUCAACAACAAAUGAAAGUGCCCUUGACAAGGGUAUUGUCUGUUAGUUUCGACUCGUUGAGACCCCAAAACAUGAAUAUGGACCACACUCGCCCGAUGCAAACUUGUGAAUAGUCAUUUUCUUUUGGUAAUUAAUAAAUUGGUCACAUAUAUCAGCAGCAAGCAAACAGCUGCACUUGAAAUAUCCUACAUUGACAGCAAUUGCAUACCCUACUCUAAACACCUACCAUGUGCAUUUUAAUAGCAGCUUGUUGGGGUAGGCCACCCAUGGCUCUGUACAAGCAGACAACUCAAGUCAGUUAUCUUAAUCUUGGAUGCCAUAGGCUCUGAUCUCAUUAAAGCCUGAGAGAAACAAUGUACUUCCACACGGGAUUAAGAAGAAUCACCUUUCUGCAAUAAUUGGUAUUUUAUGAUUCUCAGGUGCUGUCUCAACUUGAUUUUCAGUUGUGAAAAGUUAAUACGAGACUCAAAAGUUUUUAAUCUCUGGCUCUGAAUCCAUGAUGAUCAGUUGAUCUUGCUGCUGUUACCAAUCAUGAGUAUUAAAAGUUGUUGGCGUAACUGGUGAAAAAAUGCAUGGCAGCCAGAUGCCAUAUAGGUAAACUUUUGAUGGCCCGGAGAGUUUCCAUCGAGAUCAAUACCAACUUUAUGAUAUGCAUGGCAACAACAAAAUCACAAGUUGGUCUAUGGCUUGUUCCAGGAUGGAGAUUGCUUGAAAUUCAAGUCACUACAAGUGGACAUGGUCCAUUGCAAGAUUGUAGGUUAUACAAGCAUUAUUAAUUCUCUGGAGAAACAUCAACAUCACCAACCUCCAACACAAUUUGGAUUGAAACAAUGAUGGAGAGAUAUAAUGAAAUUUUAAUGUUGAUAAUAUCGAAAUCUUUAAGCCUGCAGAGUUGAAUUUUGGGGACAGUGUAGUCGGACUAGACUAAGCUUACUUUUAUUAAAUCUUGGAGAGCCUUAGUUUGUAUUUUUAACAUCAUUCAUAUGAUUCUUUUAAAUAAUGGAGACUCAAAUAGUUUAACCACCCUUCCAGUUGGGUGAUAGAGUCAACAAAUGCCAUUUCUGCAACCUUGCAUCUACUAAAGUCAACUCAUUUUUAACUAUCACCGAUUGAGUAUUGUUUGGUUUGUGGAGGGAGAAGCUGUCAAACAAUGCAGAAAAUUAACAACGAAAAAAAUUUAAAAUUUGGAAAAAUUUAAUUUAUUUCCUGUUAAUAAAAGUUUAAACAAUAACAAACAGACAAUACAAUGGGGGCGCCUAGCAAGAAAAUAUGCACUUUUCUACUCCUUGAAAAGUAACCUUCUAUUCCCUGAUGAGUGCCCCUAAGAAAUGAAUUUGAAUGAAACAAAGAAAUAAGUCAAAGAACUCAAUGAUACCUUGAGACCUGGAAAAGCUACCGAAAAACUAAACUCUCAAUCACGUGAAAGAAUGGAAUUCAAAUACAAAGUACCUUUGUCUGUCAAUAAGGUCAGUCUAUGAACAAUUCAACAAACAUGUUGGGACCAAAAAUCGGCAGCAUUUGCAUCAAAAUGUGCUGCUGCUUUCACUAGCAGAAAUUGAGGGGCCUUCAGACUUCACUAGAUGAGAAUUUCUGCCAUUGAUAUCAAGCCCCUGCAAUCUUCCAAGAGGAUCCUGCUGCAACAUCUCUGAGAAGGCAUGUGAGUUGGCUGUAGCUAGCAUAGGCUGAUGGGGAGUUGACAUGUUAGGCUGAAAUGGAUGGAAUUCUGGCAAUUGUACGAUCUGGGUGUCUCCAGGCCCAGUUUGAGGGUGGUGCGGAUAGAACAAUGAUUGGUUAUAUGGAAUUGGUUGCAUUCCUAAAUUAUAGGUGUCUGUGGGUGUCAUCAUUUCACCGGUUGCAACCUUGAGCCUCUCCACUUCCUUUUUUAGAGCUUCAUUCAAAGCUGUAUUUUGGAGACAUGUCAUGACAAGAUAUAAAAAGCCAAUGGUUUCUCAAGAAAACAUUAAAACAAAAGGGGAAAGUAUCGGGAGAAACAACUUGGGCAAAAAGGAAAAAUAAAGAAAAUUGUCAUUCAGAGAAGCCAUCCCCAUAGAGAGGACCCAGUUAUUAGACCCCGUUACUAAUCUUUAGAUUUUUCAAAAUAAGAUGAUGGGGCCAAGUGAAAUGCCAUAGCAGAAUCAAAGGUACCGAUGAAGAAUGGGCUGGAGUUACAGUUUCCAUUCCUACCCAUGAUUGACCAAAAAUUGGAGAGAAAAUAGAGAAUAGAGACAAGUUCUGUCCCAAGAUAAAUAUAUCUAACACCUUUAGUAAAAGAUCCAAAUUGGGGUAGAGAAACAACACGGGACAUCUAUUUGAUGCAAUGGUAAGCCAGAACUAGAAGUUCAAAGUAUAUUGAGGCCCAAAAGUUAGAUGGCAUAGAGAGUUGUACUUUAUUUCAUUUCUUGACAGAAUAGAAGAUACUAUGUAGCUUGACCAUAUAUAGAUAGCAGGAAAUUCCCCGCCCUGUGGCCGGCACAAAAUACAGCAUCGACGGGUGGCAUAGGGAAGAGGAGGCAAAUAUUUCCCUUUACAUGCCAACUAUGGGAAAGUGACUGAAAUGAAAAUAAUAAAAUCAGGUAUGUAAUAAACGUACCAUCACGUAAUUGAGCUUGUUGUUCCAUAGCCUGUAAACGAAGUUUAAGCUCUGUAUUUUCAGUAGACAGAUCUGUUGUGUCCCUCUAAUAAGAAAACAAGAUUUCAUAAGAACAAACACGGCAAUGACAUGAUAAAGAAAGAUGGCAAGUUUAUUUUUCUUCAAUUUGGAGAAUAAGAUUGAAAAGAUAGCCAAUGAAAUAAUUUUGAAGACCCGUGAAACCUCAGAAAAAUUAAAAACCAGCCACUAAUCUUUACAUUUACAGGAAGCAAAUUAUUGCAAAUUAGAUGUCAGUCUCUAAAAGGAAUAAAACCAGGCUCCGUUAUUAUGCAAUGGAGGCCAAGCACAUGUAUCCUAUAACUAGAAAUAUACAAGUGGAGUACAAGUUGAAAUAAGGACCUGGAAUAGCGUGAGUUGUGCAGAUAGAGUAGUUGCUUCUGUUUGAAGUGUCUGGACCUUCCUCUCAAGUUCAGAUAUAUAACGGGCUUUCCUCUCUUUUGAACGAGCAGCAGAUUGCCGAUUUGCAAGAAUCCUGCUUAGAAAAGCAAUUUGUAAAAGGAAACAUCAAUAAAUAAACAAACAAUCAAAGGGUUAAGUAAAUUAUAAUUCCAUUUCUACUAUAAACCAUCAUAAUUCUGCCAAUCAAAUGAAUUUGAAGUCAAAACAAAAUUCUAUAAGGUUCGACAAAUAUGCCGAACUCCGAUCCCAUAACAAAAGGUAUUUUGGCUAAGAAAACCAACUGAAAAAUUUCUAAUAUAUAAUGAUCCAUCACUUAGAAAACAUUCGAUUUUAAAAGAAAGGAUGAACAUGAGAUAAGAAUUCAAUAUUAUGCUAUUAAUUGAAUAUCAAAUGUAUAGUGACCCAAACUUUAAGUACGAGUGUGCAGCUAGAUCACCACAUUGGAAAAAAGUAAAUUGGCAGUUUUAAGGAGUAUAAAUCUGUCAUUCAGUAGCAUGUAAAGACCGAAAUACUAAAAGGUGUAGUAUCAUUGCACAAGCAGAUGGAAAUUCAACCUAAACCCAAUUUUCGUGUAAUGAAGGACCAUAAACACUAUUGACCUCAGCAACAGAGAAUCAUCAAAGCCUGGAAGAGAAAUCAGACUUGUGUAACUAAUUCGAAUCACUAAUCACUGAAAACUGACACUUAAGAGUAUGUUCACAUACAAACAAAUAAAAAAAAGUAACAAAAGCAAAUAUCUUCCAGCGAAGCAAAAAAUCAUGAACCCCGUCUACCAAAAUGCAAAGCCCAUCAAAUUUCCUCUUUUACCCACUAAAAAAAUUCCAACUUUAUUAUCUAUAACGUUGACCACAUUGACAAAUGCGUUUCAACAAAUCUUAAAGAUAAAUCUGCUCUUUCCACACACUUCAAAUGAAAUAAUCUUUUUUUCUCUUUUGGGGAAAAAAAAAAGCUUUCAACUUUAAUAGAAUUUUGCAAAAGGGUCACCAAUUCUCUCUUUUCCUUAUAAGCUCGAUACACAUUCCACAAAAUAAACGUAAAUGUACCACAUUUUUGGGAAAAAAAAAAAUCCCACCUUUUGGCUCGUUUGGGAUCAACGGUCCAUAACUCAGCUAACUUAUCAGGAUCCAUAGCUUUCUUGGCCUCAAUUGACUCCAAAACCGACGAAGACGACGUCGUCCCAUCAACGGAAUUGCUAUACCGGUGACGCGGCCUCGCGCCAACACUCACAUUUGCAUUCUCGUGUUUGGGGUCGUCUCCGGUGGGUUUGGAUCCGAUUUUAUCCAUGUCCAUGUAGCUGCAGAACAAGUCGUCCUCGGAUCCCCCGGGGCCGUCGAAUAAAGGAUCCGAAAUGGGAUCCGAAACGAGAUCCAUGUCGUCCGGAAUUCGGUACUGCACCUCGGAUUGUGAUCGACGGUGGUACGGCCCGCGGGUCGGGGGGUUCGGGUUCGGAUUCGGGGGAUCUUGGCUUUCCAUUUUGGAGAAUUGAGAGAGAGAGAGAGAGAGAUUCAGAUUUCGGAAUGAACAGAGAGUGUUUUUUCGUUUUUGUUUUUAUCUUCUUCUACGGUCACGUUGAGAGCAAAGCCUUUUUUUUUUUUUCCGCCUUUUAGAUAAAAAAGAAUUAAAAAAAAGGAUACUUUUAGUUGUUGAUGUUGUCAUAAUUAUUAUUACCGGAAUUUUUUUUAUUAAAUUUAGUUAGACAUAAAAAUUUAACCAAUAAUGUUAAGGUGAUUAUAAUUUAUAAGUUUGGGUAUUCAAUUAUAUCUUCACAUUUGAUGAUGAGUUCGAAUUGCCCAUGCGCAUAAUGCAUCAAUGAGCAAGUUUCUUCUUCUUCUUCUUUCUUGAAUGCAUAAUUUGAAAACAAUUUCCAUUUAUUUUACAUUUAGAUAUAUUGAUUGUUGUCACGACAUUUAAUAGAUUUUUUUUAUUAUAAGUAUGGAUAUAUUUAUAUUUUUUAAGAAUUACACACACAUGUAUUUCAUUAAUUUUCAAAAUAAUACUUUAAUAUUGUUAAAGUAAAUGAUCGGAUUUUUCUCGACACGUUGGACUCUUCUGAAUUUAGUAACAUAUUUUGUUUAAUAUUUUUCAUAUGACAUUGUUUGGUAUGAUUUUCUUUUUUGAAUUCUAUUGAAAUUUUGACUGGAUUUAUUUAUUUUUCAUUUGUAAUUUAUAUUACUUUGAUAGAUAAAAUAUAAUAUGAAAAAGUAAUUUAAAAAUUUUUAAUUCAAUUUGUUCAAGACUAAAAAUAGCAAAAUGGAUUUUUUUGAAUUUAUUUAAAAUGAUAUUAAUCAUUUUAUAAUUUAUAUUUUGAUGGGUAAAAAAAAUAAUAAUGAGAAAAAACCAAAGGAAAAUUGGCAUUUACUUGAACUGUAUUCGGGAUUUAUUUACAUAAUCGAAUAUGUACACACAGAGACUUCAGUGAUAAGCCAUUAGUAAUAGCCAAGUUAGUAAGUAACUAAUAUUUCGAAAAUACUAAAGAGGUUUUUUUUAAUUAUUAUUUUUAUUUAACUCACCGGCUCACCCCACGCACAUCAAUGAGUUCGAAUUCAAAAUCUAGGUCUUAGGAAGAUUAAUUCUUAUCAAUGAAACUAAUUACGUUUGUUUUUUUUAUCUGAAAUCUGAAUAGAUAUGAAUUUAGUUGAAGUUUGGAUGGGUUUGAAUGAAAAUGUCUUAAUAACAUGUUUGUUUUUUUCUUUUUCAACAUAUGAAGAGAAAAAUUUUAAAACUAAUAGUUUGAUAUAAAUAUUCUUUUAAGUGGUGCAUAUAUUUAUUCUUCACAAUUUAUAAUUUUCAUAGGUUGAUUAGUUUGGUAGCAUUAAAAAAAAAAUACUAUCAUUGUUGAUCUUAAUUUAAUUUUAUACUAAAAGAUGUAAUUAUAACAUCAACUUUUAUUAUAAAGUCAACACGGAUGUUUUGUUUUUGAUUCAUCAGAAUAGAUAUAAUUUGAUUUGUUCAAUAUUUCAGUUUAAUUAAUGUUAUCAUGUCAAUAAAAAUUUAAAGCAAUUAAAAAAUAACUUUAUAAAUAAUUAAAAAAUUAGGUUUAUACGUAAUAUUAUAAAUACAUGAAUUUUUAAGGGUAUUUUUGAAAUUUAAAAUUAAAAUUUUCCGUUUAAACUUCAAACUUUAAAUAAAAACAGAUUUUUUUAUUCAGAUAAAAUUAUCUGAAAAUAAGUGAUAAGUUAAAAAAAAUCUAAAAUAAAUUAAUGUCUGAAAAAAAAUUAAACACACAAAUAAAUUCCCAUGUGAGAAUGAAUGAGAUGUGUGAACAGGCUGAAGCCGUGAUCAAAAUUCCAAUUAUUGGCUUUCAUGUAAUUAAAAAGUUGAUGUGAAUUUGCGAUUUGAACGAUAGAGAUUGGGAACAUUAUUGGAGAGACUUGCUAGCUAUCACUAAAUUAUGGUUACGGCACUAAUGCCUCAUUCAGCGGCAGUGGGGUAUUGAUGCCGGCACAUUUCACGGCCACCCUACGAUUUGAAAUAAAGUGAUCACAAAUGAACUUGAACAUAAAAUUUUCGUUCUUCUUCUUCACCUAAUAAAGCUGUUGUUUUAAUUUGGGGCUAGCAAAGUCGGUGGUGAGGGCAUGAAAUGGGUUUUGAUGGAUCAUGUAUGGAGCUAGUGCUAGUCAAUAUACGAGAGACAACGGGGGCCAAUUAAUGUAUGUGGGCUAAAAUUGGGAUCAGGCUAUGGUGCAACUGUGGUACCGUGCCACAGUUGCAUCCAGUCGUUGGAUGCACUCAAAUUAGUGGGAUUUAUUAGUAUCCAACGGUUAGAUGCAACUGUGACACGAUACCACAGUUGCACCACAGGUUUUUCCCUAAAAUUGACAAUAUAUGGAGCUUUAGCUUUCCGGGCCUUCAAUCAUUCAUGUGCCCCCAUAGGAUCUGCCCUUCACCGCAUGAUUUCCAUUUUCCAAUUGCCAAGUGCAAAACCCAAUCCUGUCUUCGCACACAAUCCUCAGGAGUCACGAGGAUAAGAUUACGCAGUGGAAAAAUUUAGCAAUUAUUUAGUUUUCACAGUUUCACUUAUCAUUAAUCAAGUUGUGGUGGAUUUGUUCCCUCUCCAAUAGUUGAAGGCAGCUAGUUUGAGUCAUACUCCUAGAUACGAGUGAAUAUGGUUCCUAACUCAUAAUAUAUUAUUACUAUUAUUAUUUCUGUUACAUCUUAAAAUCUUUUGCUAUCGAUUUUUCACAUUACAAAUUAUACAUAAUAUAUCAUAAGUCAAGAAAUUUUUUUUUUGAAAACACAUAAAGUCUUUAUAAAGAUGAGGGAAGGUGGAAAGCAUUUUACCAAAUAGUGUUGUAGUAGUGAUUCUCAAAUAAAGUGAUCAUCCUUGGAUUACAGUAACUCUUAAGUUUAUGAUUACACUAUGAAUUUUGUAGGAAAACAUGGCAACAUUCGCAGCAUUACCAGUGUUUGGAUUAAGAAAAUUGGCAUUGGCUGGAAUGUGACAAAAAAAUUUACUUGCAACUUUUGAUCAAAGGGAAAAAAAGUGAAGGAGUGGGGGAAGGAUUUGUGCUGAGGAAUAAGCAUUUUUUAAUUUUUGAAGCUAAUUGAGAUUAGGUGGGAUCAGGUGCCAUAAUCAAAAUUCUCUAUCAACUUUUUGCCCUUCUACUUGAUUCUAAAACUUUAACCAUCUGUAAGUCAUUGCUUUCAAUUAUAGUGUUGUGAAAAGACUCCAAACAACUCACACAUCUUACUUUCAUUUGGUAUCUAAACCCAUUAUCCAUCUAUACCCCAGUGAUUCUCAGCCCCAUUCAAAGACCGCAAGCUCCCUUUUAUAGACGACCCUGCAUAGUUUACUCACAUCACAAAACAAAUCAACCUUCCUCUUUCUCUCUAUGCAUCACCAAAAUCGGUUUGCUUCUCUCAUCGAUUACUGAAUUGCAAUCAGAAAUAUUUCCCAAUAAUUUCAGAACCUGGUAAGGCUUAUUUCUCCAUUUUUUUGCAUUUGAUACUGUUACCUAAGUGAUAAUGAUGAUGCCUUUUGUGGAGGUCUUUAUCUAGUUGGAAUCACGACAGAUGUUGCCAUAACUCAAAGGCAGGGCAACUACAAGCCCGCACUUUGAUGUCCCCACUCCAUCUCUUCAUUUAUCAAUCACAAGUGAAACUCCGCCUUUAAGUUCCUCAAGCAACAACCAGCUAGCUAUCAGACUUUCACAGAUCGAUCGUAGAAGCUCAAUAUCAAAACGAAAGUGAAGCUAACAAGUAAAGGCUUGGCUCAAUACAUGAGUGUCAUGAAUUUCCUUCUUUCAGUAUCCUUUGUGGUUCGAUUCAUAAUUAAGGGAAAAGCUCGGAACUAUAGAAACGCAAGCCUGUUUGCAUAAGCUCAUCAAAUAGGCUUUAAUUUGCAAAAGGGUACAAAGCUUUUGCACUCUCUGAUCAUUCAGUUCAAGCAAUGGUGACACUCAAUCAUCGUCCACAUCGCCUACUUUUGGAUACAGAACCAAAUACGCCGCCAACCAAUGGAAGCAGAACGCGGAGCACGGUCUCCAAUGAAGCCAAUUUUGACACCAACAUGGUGAUAAUACUAGCAGCCCUGUUGUGCGCAUUGAUUUGUGCCCUAGGAUUAAAUUCAAUAGUGCGUUGUGCUUUGCGUUGUAGCAGAAGGUUUGCUUUUGAGACCCCGAAUGAGACCGCAGCGAGAAUGGCAGCCAGAGGACUUAAGAAGAGUGCAUUGAGACAGAUUCCGGUGGCUGUCUAUGGAGCUGCAGGCGUCAAGAUUAAGGCUACAGACUGUGCAAUUUGCCUUGUAGACUUCAUGGAUGGUGAAAAAGUCAGGGUGUUGCCGAAGUGUAACCAUGGGUUUCAUGUACGGUGCAUAGACACGUGGUUGAUGUCACACUCGUCGUGUCCAACUUGCCGGCGGUCAUUGCUGGAUCAACCAACAAGUUCUGAUGCUGCGGAGAUGGAUUCUGAGAUCCGGCACCCGGGAAAUCCACCAGGAGGAGAGCAAGCUGAUGUUCCUAUAGCUACGGAUGAGGUUGUUUAACGACCCUGCGUGGCCACAAAAUGUUCCUCUAAAUGAAUAAAGAGAGAGUUCGUUUGUGGUGUUUCUGGUGAUUUUUUAUUUGUUCAUGCGAGUGAGGCAUAGAGUGACACAUUUGUUGUAAUUUCACUAAAAGAAAUAUGUGAAAUGAUCCCGAGGCUAUAUACUAUGUAUGUACAUACUUUGGGUUAAAGACAGGACAUGGUUUUAGUUUCAAUUCUGUUUUGACACACCACAUACCCAUAGUAUAUUCACUUGAUGAAAUGAAUGAUUGGUGUUGCUCUCUUACAAUUUUAUAUUUCAGACUUAAAAAGGAAAAAAGAACAAGAAGCAAUUGAUGGUUUAUGCCUUUUUUCUUUUUUUUUUUUGUUUCCAGUUUUUGAGAAUCAAAUUUAUGCUGCAUAGUGAAGAAUAUAGAGGAAAUUUGUUGAAUUGUAUUGACAUAAUGUUCAUUUCUUGAAGUACAAGAAUGAGCUUUAAGGCUUCUACCUUCCAAACUUUUUUUUUGCCCCAUAAAGGAUUGCUAUUAGGCUCAAAAAAAAAAAGAAAAGGAUUUCGAGUAAUUAAAUGGAUCUUUUCAAGUACACUACUACGCAUUUAGAGCAGAAAGAAUUGAAAAGAAUUAAAUUUUAAUAUCAAACUUGCCAUUUUAACUCCCAAUCUUUGCUCCAUUCAAUGUUUGAAUGAAAAGCUUUAGCUGUUAAUUAAAAAGUGGUGGUUGUUUGAUAAGCACUAGUGAAAGUUUUUAGUAUCAUUUUUUGGAGCUUAUAUUUAUCUUUUAGAAACAAAAGAGGCCUUUCAAUUUCACCACUCGUAGCUAGAUGUCUAUCAAGUCAACUCUGGGUAUUGUAAUUUGUAAACAGCCUGUAAUCUUUAACAACUUCAAUCAAAUAGAUGAUUAUAAGUCAUGGUCAUGGAUCCAGCAAAGCAAAUUCUAAACAAGAAAUUAUUCUAGACUCCACUUGGAGCCGCAAGUAUCUUCAUUGUUUCAUUUGGAACAUGGGAACUUCAUUAAUUAUAGUACUAAAGAUAACUGUGAAAUGAAAAGGGCAAAGAGUUUUUUUUUUUCCUUUAAUAUUAUGCUGAUAGAUUGGAAUCUCAAACUCUCUAUUUCUUCUUUUGGUGAGCCUACUUGGUCCCCAGUUUAAUGAAGAAAAUCUCAUGCAGGCACCACAAAUCGAAAUCAAAAUUGUCCAAGUAAUUAGAACCCUGUAGAAUGCAGCACCAAACCCAAAUAUUGGACCAGCCUUUAAUUCCUUGAUGAAGGCUUACAUGAGACUGAAAAACCCUAAUUUUCACUUGCACCAAAUUUUUGUUGCUAAUAUUAUAAGUUUUACAACAAUAUAAAUGGCAUGGGAUAAGUUGAGCAAUAUGAAAUAAAAUUUAUAGGAUUGACCACAUAUUAUAGUCAUUCUUUCAGUUAAAUCACAACAGGUGUUAAGAUUUUAUAAACAGAUACACAAAUGAUAUUAUGCGUCAACUUCACAAAAGACUUCCUCUUAACCUUUUGGAUGAAUAUAUAUCACAAGGAUUUCUCCACAGUUCAAAAGAUUGCAUGAAAGAUUAGAUUUUAUUUUAUUUUUUGGUAGUGAAAUUGAAAUAGUCGAGUUACAAGCUUUUACAAUCCUUUCAACAAUAUUCCCAUUUCCCACUAGCAAAGAACCAAUACAUGGUUAGCGUAUUACUGCUUGGCCACUAAAACUACAUCGUACAAGGGACACACGUACAGCUUUUUUUUGUACAUAAUAAUAAUAAUAAUAAAAUCUGUUUGUAUUUCAUAAUCAUGGAAGGAGCGCAGCCCAGUUGUAGUUAUAGAAAAAGGUCACUACUAUCUUGAGUCUUAUGAUGGGGCCUUCAUCUUGGACAAAGAGGGGGGUAAUGGAAUCAUUUUAAUUGCCUUUAAAGGGCACAAUUUUGCGUUACCAUCCAUUGCAUUUGCAUGUCAUCAUUUGUAGUUUAUAUUAUUUUUAAAGCCCUACCAACAGUAUUCCCUUUUCCUGGUAAGAAGAGACUUUGAAGCUACACAUCUAGUCUUUGACUGAAAGAUAAAAUUCUCUCACAAUAUAGUUUGACAACUAUAUCUAUAAAAUAUAUAUUUAAAAAAUAUAUUAUGUAAUUAUGUCAUAUUUGUCAUUAGUAACGAAUAUUAAAUGAUAAUUAGGUCGCCAAUGACUCGUAGUCCAUUGGCAACUUAUGCGCCCGCGCAUGAAUGCGAGUCCCAACAAUAGCUAAUCCUUGACUCUCAUUCUGAUAAAGAUUUAUUUGACUCCUUACUGUAGGAGUAAAAUAAAUUUUCUUUCAGUAUUAAAUAAGUGUUGUUGUUCGAGCUGUGUCAUACUAAAAUCAUAAAAAAAGAGUCCCAAUUACUAUUUAAUUAUAACAUAUCAAUAUUUCAAAAAAUAAUAAUAAUUAGGUCAUAAAUUAUGUUCUUGUGGUUGUGGGUUUCAUAGGCUUUGAAGGCAGCAGGGCCUUCACUAAAAGUGAGAUGCCAAGCUGGGCCUUAUAUCAAAUUGACAUGUAUGCAUGGAUAAAUUUCACUACACACCCAUUUAAAUCGACAAAUUCUGAGCUCAGAACGUAUGAUUUAUGAACAAACUCGAGAAAUUUUCUUGAAGGACCUUAGCAAAGCAAAUUUUCAUUAAAAUAGAAGCAUGGUUGCGGGGUAAACACGUCAUUCAAAUUCCACAAAUUUACAGCAAUUCCAAAACCCAAGUGAAGAAGCACUUUUAUUAGAAAGCGCAGAGCUGCUUCAUUUUGAUAACUCAGCUGAGAGAGUAUUGGCUAGAGAUGAUGUUGUUGUAGGAGACACUCCCCUUGCUCCACCCAAGUACCAUUUCUUGAUCAUCUCAACCACAUUCGCAUUCUCCACUUUGAUUUUUGAGUCCUCCUUUCCUUCACUUGUAAACACUAUCUGCACCCACGUUCAGAAAUUUAGUCUACAAGCAAAUUAAAUUAAAAAACAUAGUAUAAUUUUUAAAAAUUAUAAUAAUAAUAAUAAUACAUAUAACAUCAUAACUAAACGAAGGUGAUGAGACAAAAAUUAGAAGAAUUCUCUCCUCGUAAUCUGGAACUUACUACUCAAAUUUCAAAAGCAGCUUAGAUCACGAGAGAAUCAAUAACAAGUAGAAUUUUUAGUACCUCAGCAGUAGGGGAUGUUGCCGGAAAAUGAUAAGCAAUCACAGAGUCCUUCUUAAAAUACUUGGAUUGGAAGAAUUCAACGAUUUUCUCAAGGGCAGAUUCUUCCUCUUCUUCAUAUUUGUCAGCUUCGGCCAAUCUGUCCCUCACCGCACUUUCUAACUGAACCCCAUAUUGUGACCCCUUGAUCUCCUUGAUCACAACAAUUCUAAAAAAUUUCUCUACUGGAGCUGCAUGGCAUAUACAGAUAAAAAAACUUUAAAGAAAAAUAAAGUUGAAAAAAAAUAAAAAUCAAAAUGUAUAAUAGUUAAUUACCAGAGACAAGAGCAUCAAAGAAGUCAUCAUCUUGUGCAAGGGAACUUCCCUGUUUGCCCUUCCACUGUUGCAAGUGACUCAAAAUUUCAGGAUCCAAGUAGACUCCAAUUGCCGUGAACUUGAUUUGGAGAAAGUGUAUCUCAAUGUCUGUUAAACCUGUUGCAAGCAGCAGCCCCCCCCAACUCAACAAGUUUCAUAAUUGCCAUUAAACACCUCUAAAAUGACAAAAUUGUUCAUAAUGAAAUGAAAUGGAUUGAUUAUUACCAUGACCCAGAAGGUUCAACGGCUUGGUGGUGGUGAUCUGAGGAGGAAAUGGGAUUUCAUCCACCAUUACAACUUCAGUGCCCACUACAUGUUCCACAAAACCAAAAUUAGGUCACAGUAUAUACGUAUAAAUAUAUAGAUAGCUUCAUUAGCUUGAUUAAAAAAAAAGUUGUUAACAUAAACUUAAAAGAGAGACUCACUGGUAAUCUUUAGUGGGAAACUAUUGGAAAAUGAUGAAGUAUGGAGAAAAAGAAACUGAUAAUUUGAUUAAAUAAAAAUGAAGGGUGAAGCUGAUAUUUAAACAAGUGACUCUGCUCUUUAGUUACUAUUUCUCAAGCUACCAAUCUUUUUCAGUUAUGGCACCGGUGUUUGGUGGGAGGCUGGUAGUAGGUAGCAAAAGUUGAAUAUUUGGUGCUGCGAUAUUAUUAUUUAAUUAAACUUUUUCUUCUUUUUCUUUUAAUUUUAUGAAAAAUCAGCAGAGAUAUUCAAUUUAUACGCUUAUAUAGUAGGGAUCUUGAUUUUUUUUUAUUUAUAAAUAUCAGUUGAUUAUAAUACAAAAUUAGAAGAAUAUAUGUUGAGAUUUUUGUUGUCUUCAAAAUUUGAGUUUAAAAUAGACUAAAGUAAGCGGCGAAAGGUAGAGAGGACUAUAACUAUUUCUCUUGUAUCCUAUAAGAUAAACACUUUUCAUAUUGAUCCUUAACAAUUUUUUUUUUUUUAUAAUCCAUAAUAGAAUAAACAAUAUUCAUAUUAGUGCUUCAACAAAAUUCCUAUAUAUAUAGAACAAUAGUUAAUUUUGUACACAUCAUUUUAGUUUAAUCCGAAUUAAAAUAAGUUCUUAAUUUUGUCACUAACUCAAAUUUACUUCUAAAUAUUUAAAAGAAAAUGUAAUUUUUUUUAAAAAAUAUAUACAUGAGAGGAGAGAAAACUAGAGUGUUACCAUCCAAAGGAUGUGUUGUUUUGAAGGUUUUAGCAGAAUUACAGGGUUUUAAAAUUAAAGUAAGUCCCUCGGCAUUUUUUGUUUUAUUAAUUAUUUAAUUUUUGAGGAGAUUCAGCUAUCCACGUGUUCAGCUGCCUAAACAAAACAAGUAACAGCCACCCAUUCUACCUAACCUACCCUCUCCCCAUUUUAUUUAUUUAUUCAUUAUUAUUUAUUCAUUUUCAUUUAUAAGAUGCCCAUUCCAAUUCACAUUUUACAAACCCAUGUAAAAUGGAGCGGCUCGGUACGAAGUGGAAUUCAUCAUUUAAUUUUAAUACAAGGAGCGGGCCAAAAAAGGCCAAAAAAAAAAAAAAAAAAAAAAAAAAACUGCACAUCGGAUUACUUUGUCGCCAGAUUGCACAAAAUAAAGUCGGAUUUAAUCAGCUUUUUUCUUCGUUACUCUAUUUUAUCACUCUCGUCGCCUAGCGAGAUCUUAUACAGAUAUUAUAAAUUAAAAUUCAAAAUUAAAAUUCGGAAGGAAUUUAUAAUAUUAUAAACUAUUUUUUUUUUUACUGUCUUCUAAUGUUAAUUUUAACUUUGGAUAUGUUAAUUCUACUCAUCUUUUCUGGUCUAGGUCAACCUUAUUAUCUUGUUGUAGCCUAUAUUAAGGGUAAUGUCCUUAAGAUGAGUAUCAGUAAGGCUUACUCUAUGUUGUUGACUCAUGAGGCUACAUUGGAAAGUGUAUGUCUAAUGCUAGUAAGAAAUUAAGAUGAAUUAUGCAGCCUAUAUUGUUCAAGCUGGAAAUAAUAAUAAAAAAAUAGAGUAAAAAUGGUGACUGGAAUAAUAAUAAGGGAAACUGGAAUGGAGAUUUUGGAAACAAAAAUGCAAAUAGUAACUGGAAUGGAAACUUAAAAAAUAUAGGAGAUUAUGGAUCAAGAAGAGGUGGAUUUUUUAAAAGUGGUAAUCCUUCUUGACAUAAUUUAGGAAGAGGUUGGAAUGCUAAUCAAUGCAGGGGUGGUUUCUAUGGAAAUGAUGGUUUCUCUAGUCUUUUUAAUGGCUUUGGCAGAGAAGGUGGCAAAGGAAAUAUUAUAUGCCAAAUUUACUUCAAACAUAAUCAUUCAGUAGUUGAUUAUAGAGAUAUAUUUAAUAGAAACUUUCUUCCAAAUUUCUCAGCUCAUGGUUAUUUUUUAAUGAAUCAAACCCCUAAAGCUGCCUAAAUGGUGAGUUCAUAAGGUGUUGCAGAUCAAUGCUAGUACUUGGAUAGUAGAGCCACACAUCAUCUCAUAAAUAAUGUCCACAAGUUAACUAAAGGUAAACCUUCUCUUAGCUCUUAGUUGUUGCUAGUGGGUAAUGGUCAUGGUCUUGAAAUCACAUAUACUGGUUGCACUUGCUUCUUAACCUCUUUAGGAACCAGUUUAAAUCUCAACAAUGUUUUAUGUGUUCCUAAAAUUACUAAAAACCUUAUUAUUACAUCCAAACUUCUCUUAAAUAAUAAUAUCAUCAUUGAAUUCUCUUCCAAUUUGUGUUUUAUUAAAGACAAGAUGAAAGGAGCUCUGUUGGCACAUGAGAUUGCUGAAGAUGGUCUCGAUAGAUUACUAUCACAAGCUGAAUCUUCUCCUCAAUCUGCAUAUCAAUGUCUCAAUCCUAAUUCUAUGUUGUUUGUCUUUUCUACCAAUAAAGUUGUAAACUCUUUAUAAGAGUCAAAGAACCAGUUGUCAGUUCAUUCAAAUCUUCUUAAUGCUCGUCAUUAUCCUGCAAGUUUUUUGUCUUUAGGAAAUGAGUCAAUCAAAUUGUUGUACAACAGAUUUGGUCAUCCUGAUAAGCAUACUCUGCAAGCUAUAAUAAAAUUUCUUACUUUGCAUUCUGUCAAUAAUAACUCUAUUGAUUUUUGUGAUGCCUAUCAACAUGGCAAGUUACAUCAGUUGUAUUUUCUUGUUAUUGAAAUUAAAACUAAAACUUCGCUUGAGCUUUUGUAUACUGAUCUAUGGGGUCCAGCCUUUGAAUUGUCUAUGGAUGGUUACAAAUAUUAUAUCUCUUUUGUUGAUAACUUUACAAGAUAUUGUUGGAUAUUUCCUUUAACACUUAAAUUUGAGGCCCUUGACACAUUCAAAUACUUUAAAAUUCUUGUGAAAAAAUAGUUUUCUUUAUCUGUUAAAGCAUUACAAUCUAACAUGGAGGGUGAAUUCACAGCCUUUAAAUCAUUUCUUCAAUAAGAGGGUAUUUAUUUUAGACAUAGGUGUCCUUAUACUCAAGACCACAAUAGUGUAGUUGAAAGAAAAUAUAGACACAUUGUUAAAACAUGUUUCACUUUUUUAGCUCAAUCUCACUUGCCCCUUUCAUUUUGGUGGGAAUCUUUUUAUACAGCCAAUUACUUUAUCAAUAGAAUGCCUACACCAACACUUAGAAAUGUCUCACCAUUUCACAAUAUGCAUAAUCAACUACCAGAUUAUCAAUUUCCUAGAGUUUUUGGUUGCUCUUGCUUUCCUUUACUCAAGCCUUAUAAUCAACAUAAACUUGAUUUUUAUAUUCAAAAAUGUGUUUUGGUUAAAGUCAUUUGCAUAAAGGCUAUAAGUAUUUAGACAAACCUGGUAAAGUAUUUAUUGCUAACAUGUCACCUUUAAUGAGUCUAAAUUUCCUUACACAGAAUUGUUUUCAAAUCAAUCUACUUAUGUUAUGUUUAAUCUUGUUGAUUAAACACCUUCUCAAGUUACUUUCCUUCAAAGUUCUAUUCUUGUUGGCAGUAACCAUGAAGGACCAUCAACUACUAUCAGUACUAUUCUUUUCUUCAUCUCAACAUUUUCCUACGUAACUUAUUCUUCCUGGACAUCUAAUGAUUACCAGAGUCAAGGCUGGAUUUUCAAACAUAAAACUUAUCUAGCAUUAUUUCAAGAUCUUGAACCAACUAAUGUCAAAGCUGCACUUCAAUAUUCGAGAUGGUCUUCUGUCAUGAAAAAAGAAAUAGAGGCCUUCCAAAGAAAUAAUACAUGGACAUUAGUUCUUACUACUGCAGCCACUAAAAUUGUUAGUAAUAAAUGGGUUUACAAAAUAAAAUACAAUCUUGAUGGCACUGUAUCUAAAUAUAAGGCUUGUAUGGUGGUAAAGGGUUAUCAUCAAACUCAUGGAAUUGAUUUUUUUGAAACCUUCAGCCUAGUAGUAAAACUUUGUACUAUCAAAGUAGUUUUAAGUUUGGUUGUUAUUAAGGGUGGCAAUAAAACCCACCCGGACCAGAUCCGGCCCAGACUCGGCUAAUCCGGUCCAGGCAUAUAUAAAAAAUGGGUUCGGUUAUUGAAAUUCAAAUCCAGACACUUUCGGGUUUGGUUCUGGUCAUGGCACCAAAAACCCGGAACCUGGAUCCAUGUUCGGGUUUUGAUAAAUUAAAAAAAAAAAGAAAAUAUAAAUAUAAUACACUCAAAAUUGAAACUUACUUUAAUUUUUUAUCCAAUUCUUAUGUAAACACAAGCAGUGCUGCCCGCUGUCACACCUCCAGCUCUCCAACACUCCAAGCUAGCGGCCACCACUCAACAUUCAAAGGAAACACAAGCUGCCAGCUGCAAAAAGCAAACACCCCUAACAAACACUCCAAGCCAGCACUGAUUGCAAAAGCGUCUUAUACAUCCUGCAAAAUCAUCAUCUGAUUGCAAAAAGUAAAAAGUCUUGGCUCUUAAGUGCUUUGACCACCAGUUGACAGGCUUAGCUCUUGACUCUUGAGUGCUUUGAGCAGCAUUUGAUAGGCCUUCUGUGCUGUUAUGUAGCUAUGGUUCUUUGUUUUUUUUUUCCCUUGCUUUUGGCUUUCUCUAUAAUGAGUCAUUUUCAAAUAAAAAAUCUGUAAAUGAUUCCAUUUGUGGCAAAUCAAUUCCAAAACCAGUAGGGUAGUAUUUUAUCUAGGUAGGGAAAGCCCAGAUCAAAAACCCGUGCCCGAGAGGUGCCAGGCUUGACCCGGAUCGGAUGUGAAAAAAUCAGGCUCCAAUCCGGGUCCAGGCAGCUGUUUUAUUGAUCCAGGUUGGUCCCGGGCAAGGCCAAACCCGGACCAGACCGGAGUUUUUGCCAACCCUAGUUGUUAUGCAUCACUGGAAAAUUAGACAGCUCGACAUUAAUAAUGCAUUCCUUAAUGAUGUUCUUACAAAAGAUGUAUUAAUGCAUCAACCAGAGGGCUUUAUAGACUCUACUCAUCCUUUUUAUGUUUGUAGGCUCAACAAAGUCUUAUAUGGCCUUAAACAUGCUCCAAGAGCCUGUUAUGACAAGUUAAAAGGUUCUUUAUUGGACUGGGGUUUUCAUGUAUUCAAAUAUGAUACUUCUAUGUUUUUUUCAGUAUUUUGGGAAUGAUAUUUUACUUGUUCUCAUUUAUAUGGAUGAUAUUCUCAUAAUUGGAUCAAAUUCCAAAGUUGUUGAGCAUGUUAUUCACAACCUCAAUUUAGAGUUUGCACUCAUAAAUUUAGGGGAGUUCAAUUAUUUUCUUGGCCUUGAGGUCACUCCAUUCAUGCAAGGUCUGUAUUAAUCUUACCUAUGAAUACCACUGAUAAACUUCAUCAAGGGAAAAGUGUAGUUUUUUAUAAUCCUUUCUUAUAUCGAAGUAUUGUUGGUUCUCUGAAAUAUGUUCUUAUCACCAGACCUGAUAUAGCUUAUGUUGUGAAUAAGUUUAGUCAAUUUUUAGCUUCGCUUACUGCUCUUCAUUGGCAAGCCUGUAAACGAGUUCUAAGGUAUCUUCAAUGCACAACACAUUUUGGCCUUCAAUUCUUCAACUUAAGCUCCUUAACUUUGACUACUUAUUCUGAUGUUAAUUGGGGCAUCUGAUCCUGAUGAUCGAUGAUCCAUUAGUGGUUAUUUUGUGUUUUUGGGCAACAAUCUUAUUUCUUAGUCUUUCAAGAAGCAGCACAUUGUCUUUUGUUCUUCAGCUGAAUCUGAAUAUAAAACUCUAGCUCUAGUAACUUUAGAGAUCUUUUGGCUUACUUAUCUGUUUCAAGAGCUGAGGAUUUCCUUAGUUCAUAUUCCCACUUUAUACUGUGGUAACAAGAGUGCUGAACCUUGGCUAGUAAUCCAACGUAUCAUUCUCGAACAAAACAUAUUGAGCUGAAUAUUCAUUUUGUUUGAGAACAUAUUGCAUAGAACAACUUCAAAUCACUCAUGUUUCUAGCUCUGAGUAGUAUGUUGACAUUCUCACUAAACCCCUUUCCUUUGAUACCUUUGCUUAUGUUCGAAGCAAGCUUAAUGUACUUUCCAGACCUUAAGCUUGAGACUAUGGGUGUUCACGGAUUGGAUUUUACAGAUUGGACAUCAAUCCAUAUCCGAUCCAUAAUUUUGCGGAUUAUAAUUUUUUAAUCCAAUCCAAUCCACGGAUUGAUUAAACUCAAUCCAAAUCCAAUCCAUACAUUUGUGGAUCGGAUGCAGAUUUGACUCAAUCCAUAUCCAAUCCAUACGUCUGCGGAUCAGAUGCAGAUUUAACUUAAUCCAUAUCCAAUCCACCAUUUUACGCAUUAGUUUCCAAAUUAAAAAUUUUUAGUUCUCCCCAAUCCAUGAACUAAUGAAAUUAAAAAAAAAAUCUAUUAUAAAAAUAUUUUUACUACCAAUUAAAUUUAAAAUUGAAUAAAAUUUAAACAAAUUAAUUAUUUAAAUAAAACUAAAAUAAUAUAUUCAAAGUUUCAAAAUAUAGCACAUCGAGAUUAAUUGUUCAAAUAAAGUUACAAUAAUACGUUUAAAGUUUCAAAAUAUAGCACACUAAGAUUAAUUGUUCAAAUAAAGUUACAAUCAUACAUUAAUAUAACACCGAAAUUAAUUGUUCAAAUAAAGCCACAAUUAAUUGAAAUAACGAAGUUUCUGAAACCAAACACAGUCUGAUCCUUCACCAGGGCUGUUGUACUUGUCGAAAAGUGGUGAUUACAGAGCCGUCAACGAUGAGAACCAGGAGAAGUACGGGUGGCGAUCUUGAAGGUUGUGAUAGUGCAAUUGUUUGGCUGGAACCAGUUAUUGUGAAGUGACUCGAUGGACUCGGGAAAGAAGAUGGCUUGCUCUCGCUGGAAUCGUGUGGCCGACGUCCUUCAAAUCGGUGUCGAGAGUGUAUCGAACCAGUAUUGGGUGUUGCUAGUGCAUGUGACGGCGGGGAAGCUUAGGGUUUUUUGUUUGCAAAUUGUUGGUGACUUGGCGUUAUGUUACUUUACUUUUGGGUGACUUUGCAAAUUGUUGGUAACUUGACGUUAUGUUACUUUGCUUUUGCUAGUGCGUGCGACUUUGCUUUUAUUUUGUUUUACAAUUUUUACAAGUUAUAUUUGUAUAUGUGAUUAUUUAAUUAUUUAAUAUUAUUAUUGGGUAAUGGCUAAGAUAUGUUAUAGUGCUUAUAUAACUAUGUAAUGUCAUAUUUAUAAUAUUCUUUAAUUAAAUUUAUAAUAAUUUUUAACUAAAUAAUUAAAUAAAUAAAUAAAUAUAUAUAUAUUUAUAUAUAUUUUGCGGAUUCACGGAUUUUUACAUCAUGAAGUCAACAGUUUUGGAGCGACAAGAACUCAAUGAACCCUUUUACGUACUGGAUUUAGGUCAUCAUUUCUCUCUGUUAUCAUUGAUCUCCAACCUUCCAAUGGUUCACCCCUACUACGCCGUCAAGUGCUAUCCUCGAAACACUUGAUGCUCUCGGCGCAAACGUUGACUGCGCAAGCCCUUCGGAGAUUGAAUCUGUUUUGGCACUAGGUGUUUCACCCGAUCGAUUGCAUUAUUUAUGCCAACGCGUGUAAGCCAAUUUCUCAUAUUAAGUAUACUGAGAGUGUUGGAGUCAACUUAACAACUUUUGAUUCGAAGGGGAAGCUUGAUAAGAUUCGGACGUGGCAUUCGAAAUGUGAGUUAUCGAUCCGGAUCAAGUCCCCGGUAGAUGGUGGAGCAAGGUAUACGUUGGAUUCCGAAUUCGGUGCUAAUCCUGGGGAACCUGUGCAACUUCUUGAAGCCGCUGAAGCUUCAAGGCUUCCUCUAAUGGGUGUUGCACUCCAUAUAGGAUGCGAAGCCACAAACCUAGCUGCAUUUCGGCUAAAACGGUUUUCGCGGCGGCAGCUGGGCUGAACGACUAAAAUGCGUAUCUUGGAUAUUGGCGGUGGCUUUGCUUGCGACCCACAGUUCCAUGAAGCGGCUUCAAUCAUAAAAGACGCUCUUCAAACUUAUUUCCAAAAAUGAAGCAGAAGCUAGAUACUUGAGUGUCAUUUCAGAGGCAGGCCGGUUCUUCGCAGACUUGGCUUUCACGCUGGCUACUAAAAUUAUAGGGUAGCUCGUUUGAGAUGAACUGAGAGAGUACUGGAUUAGUGAUGGGAAAUACGGAUCUUUUGGGUGGCUAUCAAAUGAGCAAGUGAUUACUAAGUGCAGAACUCAUACUUGUACUUCCGCCUCCAGCAAUAAUCAGACUUCCUACAAGUCGACGGUGUUUCGACCAACGUGUACUGCAGUCGGUAAGGUUUUUGCGGGCCACCCGUUACCGGAACUUGAGGUGAACGAUUGGCUUGUGUUUCCCGAUAAAGGUGCCUAUACACUGUUUGUGGAACCAAUUUCAAUGGAUUUAGCAAUGCUGCCGUUCGAACUUAAAUUGUCCGUUCGAAUCCAAGCUCAUACAGCUUGUGAAUAUGAGAACGAGGUUAUACUAUUGCGUGGGUUUGCAAGUGAAGUGACUCAAGAAAUAAAAAAUAGAUAACUAAAUAAAUAAUGUGCUUCUGCACAAUUACAAGUGAGUAAAAAAGGUACGGAAGUCUUCGUGAUUGUUGUCGGCUUUUCUUAAUUUCUUUAUUUUAAAUAAGGUAUUAGACUAUUACGGUGCGUUUACCUUUUGAAUUGGAUUGAGAAUUUUGAGAAGUGGGAAUCUUAGGAUUGGGAGUGUGGAGUGGGAGUGAGAGUAUGUUGUUUACUUACACUGGAAUAGAAGCAUGGAAUAGAGAUCAGAAUCCAAUUUAUGUGUUUACUUUGUCUUGGAUUGGGAGUAAAUAGUUUCAAAUUAUAAUUUUAUCCUUAUUUAAAGAAUUAUAGUUUUUAAUUACAAAACUAAUAAAAAAUAUAUUUAAUGAAUAAUAUUUAUUUUAUUAUAUUUGUAAAUUUAUUAUAAUUAUUAAUAUUCUUAAUUAUGAACAAUAAAUUAUUCAUUUUAAUAUAAAAUGAAACCUUAUUUUAUUUUAUUUAAUAUAAUUAUAUUAAAUUUAUUAUUAUAUAAAAUAAUAAUAUAAUAUUAUUUAGUACAAAAUUAAUAUUUUCUUAGAAUAAACUAUUUAUUAUUAUUAAUAUUAAAUAAAUAUAGUACUAUUAUUUUUAAAAUAAAUAUAAUAAUAUUAUAUUUAUUAAUUCUCUAUUAAUAUAAUAAUAUUAUUUUAAAAUAAUUUUAACUUAGAAUCAAUGCAAAUUAUUAUUUAGUUAAAUAUAAUAUUAUUAUUCAAAUAAAUAUAAUAAUAUUAUUCAAAUAAAUAUUAUUUUAUUUAUUUUAUUUUAUUAAUUAUAAUAUAUUAAAUUAAAUUAAAAAUAAAAGGGUAAAAAAGGGAAUGGGAUUCCCACUCUCACUCCCCACUCCAAAAAUGGGUGGGGUCCACAGAGUGGGAUUCCCAAUCCCUUCCCAUUUUGAGGAAAUAAACGCUGGAGUGGAAGGAAUCCACAAUCCUCACUCCCACUCCAGCAAGUAAACACAGCCUUAGUAUUAUCUCUUCUCUCCUCUUGAUUUGAUUUGAGUAUUUAUCUGACUAAAUAUAAUUAUAUCUUAAUUUGUGUGUUUACCUGAUUAAAUCAUAUCAUUGAUGGUUAAUAAAUAAAAAUAAAAUAAAGAAAUAAAUAUCAAUAUACAUAAUGAAAAUUUACACACACUUAAAGUGGCAUUGAGUAUUAUAAUCUAUAUUUUGAGCAUUUUAAAAUAAGAAAAAUGUGAAAUUAUAAAAAAUUCAAAAUUUUAACUAAAAGGCAAAUGUUAUUGUCAUAAUUUUGUCGCUUCUUUAUCAUUUUCCUUUAAUAUUUCACUUACUAAAAAACAAAUCAUUAUCUUAGAAAUGACAUCGUUGUCUCUAACACUUUACCCAAACCAUCCACCCAAAUUCGACCAAGCAAAAAUGUUCAUUCUCGUGACCUUUACGAGUCAGGGUGGGCAAAUAACCCUACCUGAUCCAAAAACUUUUGAGUUUGGAUAGGAUACGAAAUAAGAAUCAUACUUGAUCUGGUUGGAUUUUGGCCAAUCAAUCAGAUCGGGUCAAAUCUGAUCUGAUCCAAGUCACAAUACACACACAAAUAUAAAUUUUUUAUCCGAUCCAAUUUGAACAUAACUCAGAUCAGAUCAGAUCGCAUUAUAAGUUCUAAUUGAGUUCAGAUUACUAUUUUUCGAGUAAUCUUCAACCUUGAAACCCCAUCAAUCUGACCUCAACCCUAAUUUACCCACCCUUAUUUUCGACGUUUCCCUCUGGAUUGCUCGAGAAUGCUCCAAUGAAAACUAUUCGAAUGUUACAAUUCUUCAGUUUGUUUCAAUGAAUGUUUCCUUUGUCCCAAAAUAUAAUAAAAUAAAAUAAAAUAAAAGAGAAAGAGAAGAUGUCAUUGAGAAAAAGAAGAGAAAACAAGAGAAAAUGGCAUAUGGGCGAGAGGGAGACUUGUAUCGAGAGAGGAACAUGCUACUAGUUAGAGACAAAUAGUACUGAUAUAUUAAAAAAAUUUAAAAAAUUAAAUAACAAAUAAAUUUACAAAUUCUCAGGUCCGGAUUUUGACAACACACAAAUGUUGGGCCCGAACGUAGCAAAAUGUUAAGAUAAUUCUCGUACGUAAUUUAUUUUUCGUUAACGGAUAAUACUGUAAUUCUCAAUUAAUUAGCCGGGUACAACUCAGCAGGCAAACGGGGCUUUGCACGAGCAUGCAGUGGCUUAGCCAUUAGGAGGUCGCAUUUUGACUCGGAAAGGUCAACCAUCUCCUCAUCCGAUGGCGCGCUCCAAUUAAAACCUUGAAGAAGCCUUGCCAAAAGCAUUACAGACAUCUCGGACCCAAGUGCCAUGCCCAUGCAACCGCGUCUUCCUCUGCUGAAUGAAAGGAAUCUUAAUUCUGUUUCCGCCAACUCUACUUGAUGAUGAUGAUCGUCCACUGAACCAAUAUGACGUUCAGGUAUGAAUUUCAAUGGAUCUUUCCAGACGUUAGGGUUCCGGCCAAGCCCUAUUCGGCUCAGCAGAACGUGACUGCCUUUGGGAAUGAAGUAACCGGCGAUAGUGGCAUCGCGAGUUGAAACAUGAGGCAGGUUAAACGGUGCCACGGGAUGAAGGCGAAGCACUUCCCUUAAACAAGCCUUGAUAUAAUUGAGCUGCGGGACGUCAGAUUCCUGAACAAGUCUUUCUUUUCCAACAACUCUAUCGAUCUCCUCUGUUGCUUUUUGGAGAAUUUCAGGCUGGUUGAUCAUCUCCGCUAUUGCCCAUUCUGCCGCAUUUGAUGGAUUAUCCACUGUUGCAAGUGUCAGAUCCUGCAAGUACGUACAUAUGUUAAUUUAUCGAUCAGUUAAUUUGUCAUUAAAAUUCGAGACCGCGACCUGAUUAUAUAUAACAUGAGCAAUUAAUAAUAUAAAAAUUAAUGUAUUAAAUAAACAAGAUAUCCAACGUACCAUGCAUUGAGAUUUGAUCUCAUCUAUGGAUAACAAUGGAACCCCAUUUUCAUCCUUUGCUGAAAUAAGAACAUCUAGCAAGUCCUGGUCCUUGUGAGCUUCCUUCUUGUUGUCAUGAUGACGUCUCCGUUGGUGUACUCUCUCAUCUAUAAUGGAAUCGUGAUACUUGUUGGCAGUUUUCAUGGCCGCACUUAUAAUUUUUUCAUGGCCUUCUAGAUCGAAGACUCUCAUCCAGGGAACGUAAUCUGAAAGAGUGAAAGAAUAAAGGUGUUGGAGUGCAACGAAGAGUGAUUCAACGUGUUCUUCUUCUUCAAAUCCGGGGCCUCCAUCUUCUUUUCCUUCGCCAAAAUAUCUCCUGUUGAACAUCAUCUUCCUAAUAACGUUCCCGCAAUAAUGGCGGGUUGCAAGUCUUACAUCUACAACUGUUGCGGCAGAAGCACUUUUGCGGCAUUGGUUAUAAAUGAAUCGAACAAGAUUGUCAGCUUCUUCUCUUCUCUUAGAGAUUAAGGAGUUAAGUCGGGCUGAGCUCAACACGUGAGAAGCAACCAUCUUUCUCAUUUUCUUCCAUUGUUGACCCCAUGGUACGACUGCCACUGACAGGAAUCCACGGCUAGAGUACUCUGUCCCCAUUGUGAGCGGCCUCGUUGCAAAAAUUGAGUCGUUAUCUUUUAGAACUUCCAAGGCAAUUUCUGGGGAAGUCACUGGAAUCACAUGAACAUUUCCAAAGCGAAUGCAAGAAAUAUUGGUGUUAAGUUCUUUCAUCACACUGUGUAUCCAUUUGAAGGCCGGCUUAUUCCUCCAAAUCUCUGGAAGGUUUCCGACUAUUGGCCACGCAGCCGGGCCUGGGGGCAGAGGUGGUUGCUUCAUUCUUUUCUGGUCCGUACUCUGCUAGACAAAUUCAUUCAUUUUCAAUCAAAUUAGUUUAUAUGUUGAAUAAAAAUUUACAAUUAUUGUUCCUAAUAAAUAAGUAAGGGAAAUCGAAAAAUAAAUAUAGUAUACCUUGAACAGUUGAUUCUGAACGAAUGAAUACAUGUCCAUCACAUACUUCCGAAUAGUUUCGGAUUUCAGCUGAAAGCUUAUUAGUGUAACAACGGCAACAAGUAGUGUCACCCGAACAAUAUAUGUGGAUUCAAAAAUGGGAUUAUCUUCAAGAUAAGAAAGGAAAUCCAUAAUAUUAAUGAAGGCAAUUUUUGGAUUCAAGAGUAAAGCAGAAAAGCAAUUAAUAUUCUUGAUCGAUAUCGAUUGAAUGGAGAGGAGGCUCUCUCUAUAUAUAACAUUGUGCAGAGAUCGGGAUGAUUGAAAUGAAAUUUCACAGGUUGCUUCCAUUAAUUUUAAAUAAUGGUUACUCAGUUCUCUGCUCAGACUUUUUUAUUUAUUUUUUUAGUUUUAAAAACGUGGCAGUCAGUGUGGACUUGGUCACUUACUGAUGCUUUCACACAAGCUGAAAUAUUAUAACGACUACGAAAUUAAUAAAUUAUUUAAAAUUAGGCCUUCUUUGUACAGUAACAUUUAAGCCACAACUGUUAUAACAAAAAUUAUAAUAUAAAAUAAAAAUUAAUAGUGUAUAAUAAAUUUAAAUUUUAAAUAAUAAUUUUGAGUAAAUUAUAAAAAAUAUUAUAAAUUUUUCAUUGUAUAAGUAUGAAAUUAAAUUAACUUAACUUUCAAGCUAUUAAUUAUACCAAAUAUUUUAAUACUGUACUUAAAAAUUAUAAUGGUCCAAUCUCAGUACUAAACAGGAUCUUAAGCCUCUAGCAAUUUCUAUUGGUCAACAUUCAAUUUUGUAAGUUUGCCAAAAAAAUAUUUUAUUGCUUUCAUAUUGAAAUUCUAAAUGAGGGGAAUAUAUUCCAUGAUUUCCUCCCAAUUUUUUUAAUUAUUUCAAAAAUAGCAGCUACAUCUGUAAAACCAUGGUUAAAUCAAAAUUAGCUGAAAGCAAUUCUUGAUGUGAUUGAAUAAAGUGGAGGCUCUCCAUGUUUACCGAAUUUCAAUUCACUGGAAAAGACUUAUCAAUGAAACUAACCCUUAUUUACUUUUGAAAAAACUAAUGUCGGUAUAGAGAAAAUCGCAUUUACCCAUAUUUUGCUAAAAUUUUAAUUAGUUGCAUUUUAUUAUAUUAAAAAAGAUUUAUAAUGCAAUGAGUUUGCAAAAUAAAUCCAUGAGGCAAUAGGUUGGGUUGAGAUGCAUUAAUUCAAACAAUGUUUCAUAAUUUAAUCAUAUUACUUUACAAAACUGGGGGCGCAAAGAUAGAUUAUCAAUUAACAUUAAAAUUGACUGAGUAAAUUUUAAAUAUUUUUAUCAUACUAACUUUUUAGUAUAUGAUAUCAUGGCAGAUUUUUGAGAAUUCUUAAAUAAAAAGUUUUUGGUACUUUUGGAGUAUUGCUCCUUAACCAUUCAUUAUUUGCCUCAUGUGUGUGCAUAUUAACAUGAUUGUUAAAGCAUACAAGAGGCAAGAAAUGAAUGGAAAAUGAGCAAUAUUUCAAGAGCACUCAAGACUUUUCUCUCAAAUCAAUAGAAAUUAAUCAUUGUGUUGAUGUUUGGUUUUUUAUUUUUUAUUUUUUAACCGUGAUAUUAAACCCGGUCAAUUAAUCUCAGCAAGCACCAAUAAUCACUUUAAUUAUCAUUUUGUCCUUAAAUAAAAUUACUCAAAAGGAUAAAUAGGUAUUAUCAUCUUUGUAUAUGUAUUGAAAUACUUCUUUGCUGCUUCUGGAACAUUGCUUCUCAAGUAUUCACUCUUGCCACAUGUGUAUGCAUAUUAUCAUGGCUGUUAACGUAUACAAGAGGUAAGGAAUGAAUGGAAAAUGAGCAGUAUUAUAAGAACAACUAAGACUUUUUUUCUCAAAUAAAUAGAAAUUAAUCAUUUUGUCGAUGUUGGGUUUUCUUUUUAUUUUUUAUUUUCUUUAAUCGUAAUAUUAAACCCUGUUAAUUAAUCUCAUCAAGCACCGAUAAUCACUUUUACAUUAAUUAUCAUUUUGUCCUUAAAUAAAAUUACUCAAAAUGAUAAAUAGGUUAUAAAAUUAAUCAAGGGUUCCUGGUACCUUUUGGGCUUGUAUCCUAAUAGUACUCAUACCUAUAUUGAGCACAUGAGUUGAAAUUCCAAAAGGCUUUUCCCUUAAAGUAAGGGUGCAUUUCACCCCAUACAUACAUUAAUGGCAGUAGAAUUUCGAAUCUCAACUUCUUCGAGGAGACAAAACUGCAAAAUCCGAUCCAAUUUAUCGUAAUCGAUUAGUUAACAUGUUAGGUUAACUGUAUUCUAAAGUGCUCAUGCUAAUUUGCAUUUUCAGUAACUAACUUAACAAAAGCCUUAGACAAGGAUAGCGACUGAAGAGGAAGUAGUCGUCGUAUAAACUGGAGCUAAUAAUAAACGACGAUAUGGUAUACGGUUGACCCAAUAAUUCUCCAAGGUCAAUGAUAUGACCAAACGGGAAGGGAAGAUCUAGGGUUGUCUGCUAGGUCCAACUUGACUGCCAUUUUCUUGAGCUCUUAAGUAUUCCUGAGAGGGUCCUGUUGCAGCUUGCUGGCUUAAUCGCUCAACAGAAUCUGGCUUAACGACAACAUAAAAUAGAAUUAUUAUGCACACCAUUUACAGGGUGGUUUAUUCUUAUAAAUGAAAUUGUUGGGUGAAAUAUUUCCUUCGAAAAUUAGAUUAAAUGCAUAUAUGUCUGCUAUUGUUCUUAAUUUCAAAAUCAAGAUUGAGCCUUGCCCUCGUUGAUGCUUUUCUCAAUCAGCGACUACUAAAUAUCAAACUGCUAGUAAAAAGCGUAAGUGAUAUGAAUACCUGAGCAAUUUGCUAGAAACGUGAAAAAUGGGGGGAUAUGCAAAUUGUGAACAUUGAAUCUCCCUUUAAUUAAUAUUAUCGUCAUGGAAUAUGUUACCAUCAUUUAAAACUUCUACAUGAUGGAAUUAAUAUAAUUAUCUGAAUUCAACUUUGGCUCAAUGGUGACCAAGACAAAAUUGCCAGUUGAUUAACUUUGAAUAAUGAAUUGAUCUCCACUAGAUACAAUGUAUCAGCUUAAAUGUUCAAUUUUUUUUUUUUUCACUUAAGUUUCCGUUUCUCGAUGCAAUUAGGAUAAAUUAAUAUUUGUAAGUGAUAGGCCUGUUAAUAAUCAAAGUCCACUCCUGGGUGCUUUCCUAUAAUUAAGAAAUUGACCACGUUUACUGCUUUUAAUUAAUUCGAUAUGCAUAAAGAUAUGCCGAACACUAUUUGCUAAUUGUCUUUAUAUUAAAUAAAUAGACAUAUUCCAUAUAAAUAUUUUAGUGCAUAAAAUAACAUUAUAUAUACUUUUUACAAUAUGAUGUCAUCCAUACAUGUGCCACUUAGAGAAGCUGACAUCACAUGCCAGCAAAAACGAGACAAAACUAGAGAUGUUCAAUUUACCAUAAAAUUUUAAAGUCGGUUUUUUUUGGGUUACGAGAAUUUAAUAUUAACAAAAUCUAUCAGAUAGAUUUAAAAUAGUUAUUCAAAAUAAUUUGCUUUGACGCCUGAUUCCCAACGUUCUUUCUCCGCUUAACUUUCUGUCAAGUCUAAUAUUUCAUUAUUACAUGUUAUUUAAUAUUAUAUUUACAUGUAAAAAUAUUUUAUAAUGUAGUGAUUAAAAUUACGGUGGAGUAAUAAACAUAAAUUUGAUAAAUUACAUUUAAGACUAGUAAAUAGAAAAUAAAAUAAAUUAAUUAAUGUAUGAGCGGAAAUUGGUGUUUUAAACUUGUAAAGAAAACAAACACUUUGUAAAAAUAACAUAAAAAUUAUAAAUAAACAUUAAACUUUAAUUAAACAAAAAAUAGUUUAUUCAUUUACUUUAAUUAAAUAAAGAAAAAUAAUAACUCAUAAUUGCAAAUAAACAAAUUAUACUGAAAACAAUUGGCAUAAGUUUCAUUGAAUUGAUUUAACCAUAAAUUCUAUAUUUAUUAUAGGCUAUUUAUAAUUUUUUUUUCAUUUCUAUUGUGUUACUUGUUAACUAAUAGAAGUUAAACAAAAUUCUUUUUCUUGAAGUAGAUCUAGCCAAAACAAAAUAAAAAGAUAUUCAUAUAUUACUGUUGAAAACAAUAAACUUGUUUUACAUAAAUAAUUCAUUUAAGUGGAAUGAGGUAUUGAGGUGUACAUAGCCCUUCAUCAUUAUACUCCAUUAUCAUGGUCCUACCAUGUUAUGUUCAUGAAGCAUCUAAUUAAGUGGAGAUUAGCUUUACACUUUGGAUGCCAUUAAAGGAUUCCUUUAGAGCAUGUUAGGUAAAGUGGUGUCAUGAUGAAAGCUUGAUGGAACAUGUUAGGUGAUGUGUAUUGUUAUGAUUAUGUUUGUAUUUCAUUCACUAUAAAUGCCUAUGCCAUUUGUGUUGUAUACAUCAAGCAUAAGAAGCAAAAUAGCUUGUAAGAGUACUUUGUGAAGAGUGUGUGAAUUGUUCUUGUAAUGUUUUUGAGCUUUCUCUAAUAAAAUUUGUGUUUUAUUCUUCAAAUUCUCCAACAAAGUGGUAUCAGAGCUAGUGUUUGAUGCUAUAUAUAGCCACAUAGCAUAUCAAAUCGAAGUUCUCGACGAGAGUAACGCGACGCCACAAAAAUCAGCUUAAUCGAAGUCCAAACACACCCACACUCGCUGCCGGAAGUUUUCUGUCCUGAAGCUGAGUCAACUCACUGAGUUGAACCAAAUUGAACCGAACCGAACCGACCCAGACCCGAGUUGACCAGAGUUUACUGUUAACCACAGUUGACUGUUGACUGUUGACCGUUGACCGAAAGUUGACCCGAGUUCCUCCCAUAGCUUUUUGACGUUCUGGAUCCAUCCGUGCAUUUAUAAUCUCCAAAUUCUCACUCAAUUUGUGAGUUAUGGCAAAUGAUGAUAUGAUGUCAUUUCAAGUUCCACAAUUAAAGGAAAGUAAGUUCGACAACUAGAGUAUCAAAAUGAAGGCUCUAUUGGGUGCACAUGACCUAUAUGAAGUUGUGGAGAAAGGUUUUACUGUACCAAAAAAUGAAGUUACUUUAAUUGCAGUGCAAAAGGAGAAUUUAAAAGAAUUAAAGAAAAAAGAGAAUAAAACAAAGUAUCUCAUAUUUCAAUCAUUAGAUGAAGAUACUUUUGAAAAGAUUGCUGGUGCACCUUUUUCAAAUGAAGGAUGUGAGAAGUUAGAGACCUCUUACAAAGGAGCAGAGCAAGUUAAGAAGGUUCAUCUCCAAACAUUACGAAGAGAAUUUGAGUCCUUACACAUGAAGGCAUCCGAGUCGAUUUCUGACUAUUUUACUCGGGUUGUGACCAUUUCUAAUGAACUAAAAAGAAAUGGUGAGGAGUUAAAAGAGGUAAGGAUCAUUGAAAAGAUACUUCGAUCAGUAGAUUUGAAGUUUGACCAUAUUGUUGUGACAAUUGAGGAAACAAAAUAUUUGGAGGCAAUGACGAUUGAACAGCUUCAAGGAAUGUUGCAAGGCUAUGAAGAAAAACUGAAAAAUAAGAAAUGAAUUGAAGAACAACUUCUCAAGAUGAAAGUCAAUCCAAAGAAAAUAGAAGAAAACUCCAACAACGGGAGAAUGCAAUAUAUUUGAGGAAGAGGUCGUGGUCAUAGACGAGGUUGGAAUUUCAACAACAACAACUCCAAAUAUGCAAAAGGAGAAAGCUCAACCAGAGGACGAAGCAGAGGUAAUCCAAGAUUGAGGUAUGACAAAUCCCAAGUACAAUGCUAUAAUUGUCAAAAGUUUGGGCAUUAUGCUUUAAAAUGCAGAGCUCUAAGUACCAGAAUUGAUGAGAGAGUAAAUUAUAUUGAAGAGAAGAAUUGUGAAGAUGAUACACUUUUACUAGCAAGUAAUGACACCAGCGGAGGUCAAGAAAAUACAUGGUAUCUUGACAUAGGUGUUAGUAAUUACAUGAGCGGAAAUAGAAGCAUGUUCGUGGAACUAAAUGAAUAUGUGAAUAUCAAUGUUGCUUUUGAAGAUGAUUCAAAAGUACCAGUGAAGGGUAAAAGUAAUAUUUUUUUUGGUGCAAAAAAUAGUAGCCACCAAUUAAUUUCAAAUACUUAUUAUGUGCCCAGUAUGAAAAGCAGCAUCCUCAGUUUAGGUCGACUCUUGGAAAAAAAGACUAUCAUAUUUACUUAAAAGAUUAUAGUCUUUUUCUAAAAGAUGACAAAGGAAAUCUAAUAGCAAAGGUGAAAAUGUCGAAGGAUAUAAUAUUUCUUUUAAAUAUUCAAAAUGAUGUUGCAAAGUGUCUCAAGGCUUUUCACAAAAAUUCAAUAUGGAUUUGGCAUCUUCAAUUUGGAUAUCUUAGCUUUGGUGGACUAGAGUUACUAUCAAAGAAAAACAUGGUGAAAGACUUACCUUCAAUCAAUCAUCCUAAUCAAUUUUGUGAAGGAUGUUUACUUAGCAAGUAGUUUAGAAAAAGCUUUCCAAAUGAGUCAAACUGAAGUGCUCGGAAGCCACUCGAGCUUAUUCAUACUGAUGUGUACGGUUCAUUUAAGCCAAACUCCCUCGGUAAAAGUAACUACUUUUUUUUUCAUUGAUGAUUUUUUAAGAAAAACUUGGGUGUAUUUUUUGAAGCAGGAGUCAGAAGUCUUUGAAGCUUUUAAUAAGUUUAAAGCUGUAGUGAAAAAUGAAAGUGGAUACUAAAUUAAAGCCAUGAGAUCUGAUCGAGGUGGAGAGUUCACUUCCAAAGAAUUCGUAGAAUUUUGUGAAGUAAAUGGAAUUUGACACCUUUUGACAGUUCUAAGAUCCCCCUAACAAAAUGGUGUUGCAGAAAAAAAGAACAAAAUCAUUCUCGACAUGGCAAGAAGCAUGCUCAAGAGUAAGAGGCUACCCAAAGAAUUUUGGGCUAAAGUUGUUGCAUGUACAAUCUACUUAUCCAAUUGAUCUCCAACAAGAAGUGUGUGGGGUAAGGCACCACAAAAAGCAUGGAGUAGAAGAAAGCCCGGCAUCACCCAACUGAGAGUUUUUGAUAGCAUUGCUCAUGUACAUGUACCAGUCGAGAGAAUAGCCAAGCUAGAUGAAAAAAGUAAAAAGUUUAUCUUCAUUGGUUAUGACAACAUUUCCAAAGGAUACAAGCUAUACAAUCCAAACAACAGGAAGAUCGUGAUCAACCAAGAUGUAAUUUUUUAUGAAGAAAGAUAAUGAGAUUUUGGCUCUGAUAUGGAUGACUUCAACUUCUUUCCUAUUGAAGAAGAUGAUCAUACAUAGAUAAAACAAGUAGAAGAACAACAAGAGCCAACAACUCAACUUAUCUCACCAGCAUCAACCACACGUGGAGAUUCACCACUAUCUUUAUUAAAUGAAAGAACCGAGGAACAUAUAAGGAGUCUUCAAGAUCUCUAUGAGGUAACUGAGAGACUUGACAAUCUCACUCUCUUUUGCCUCUUUGCUAAUUGUGAGGCAGUCAACUUCCAAGAGGCUGCACAAGAUGAGAAGUGGAGAAUCACAAUGUAUGAAGAAAUUAAAGCUAUCAUGAAGAAUGACACUUGGGAACUUACUACUCUUCCUAAAUGUCAUAAGGCAAUCGGUGUCAAAUAGGUGUAUAAGACGAAGAGAAAUGCCAAA